GGCGUGUCAAUUGGUGAUUGGCUGGAAAAAAAAAAGGGGGAAAAUGUUUUCUUUUUCUUCCCUCGGCGAAAUCGGAAGAAAUCUACAACACUUGGGACUUCAUCUCACCUGCGAUCUUCUUCUAAGGAUCCGACAUGAUGACGAACCCAAACCCGACCAUUGAUUGAAAGCAGCUUCGCCGGAAAGAUGGAAUAUGGAUGUGUUGAUAUCUAAGCGGCAUGGAAUCGGAAGCGGGUACCUGGAAGCGGGUACGUUUGGAAACGCUGAACGUAUUUUAUGAAAAAUAUUGGAAUCGGGUACGUUUAAAAACGCUGAAGCGUAUUUUAUGAAAAAUAUUGGAAUCGGGUACGCUUUGGAAGCGUAUAAUUUAAAUAUAUAAAUAUAUAUAU